CUUAAAAUACUUAUAUAUUAAAAUAAGAUAGAAUUUAAUUACUUUUUCAUUUUUUCCUUACUCUAAUAAAUGUGAAAAUAAUUGUGGGCCCCAUAUUAAACACCAUGCGUAUUUGUAGCAAACACUAAUAUAAUAAAGUUUUAAAUACGGAGCACAAACUACAAUGUUAUAUUAAUCGUGUUUUGAACAUAGUAUCCCAUAUUGACAAAAUCAAGCAAUAUAUAUAAUAAAAAAAAAAUGCAGACUUUGUAUUCUUAGCAAACACUAAUAUAAUAAAGUUUUAGAUACGGAGCACAAAUUACAAUGUUAUAUCAAUCGUGUUUUGAACAUAGU